rnacentral:piRNA from 1 species
UGACAAACUAAAUGGUCAUGAAUUAGCCAA